rnacentral:rRNA from 1 species
AUUGAACGCUGGCGGCAGGCCUAACACAUGCAAGUCGAGCGGAUGAAGGGAGCUUGCUCCUGGAUUCAGCGGCGGACGGGUGAGUAAUGCCUAGGAAUCUGCCUGGUAGUGGGGGAUAACGUCCGGAAACGGGCGCUAAUACCGCAUACGUCCUGAGGGAGAAAGUGGGGGAUCUUCGGACCUCACGCUAUCAGAUGAGCCUAGGUCGGAUUAGCUAGUUGGUGGGGUAAAGGCCUACCAAGGCGACGAUCCGUAACUGGUCUGAGAGGAUGGUCAGUCGCACUGGAACUGAGACACGGUCCAGACUCCUACGGGAGGCAGCAGUGGGGAAUAUUGGACAAUGGGCGAAAGCCUGAUCCAGCCAUGCCGCGUGUGUGAAGAAGGUCUUCGGAUUGUAAAGCACUUUAAGUUGGGAGGAAGGGCAGUAAGUUAAUACCUUGCUGUUUUGACGUUACCAACAGAAUAAGCACCGGCUAACUUCGUG